rnacentral:tRNA from 1 species
GUUAUUGUAGCUUAAAUUUGUAAAGCACGACACUGAAGAUGCCGAGAUGGAUUUUUAACAUAACCCAAGUAACA